UACGUAGGGUGCAAGCGUUGUCCGGAUUUAUUGGGCGUAAAGAGCGUGUAGGCGGCCAGACAGGUCCGUUGUGAAAACUCGAAGGCUCAACCUCGAGAUGUCGAUGGAAACCGUCUGGCUAGAGUCCGGAAGAGGAGUGUGGAAUUCCUGGUGUAGCGGUGAAAUGCGCAGAUAUCAAGAGGAACACCUGAGGUGAAGACGGGUUGCUGGGCUGACACUGACGCUGAGGCGCGAAAGCCAGGGGAGCAAACGGG
rnacentral:rRNA from 1 species